rnacentral:rRNA from 1 species
GCGUAAAGGGUCCGCAGGUGGUUUGGUGCGUCAUGGGUUAAAUCUACGGGCUCAACUCGUGGACCGCUCGUGAUACGACCAGACUCGAGAGUGGGAGAGGCAAGCGGAAUUACCGGUGUAGUAGUAAAAUGCGUUAAUAUCGGUAAGAACACCAAAUGCGAAGGCAGCUUGCUGGAACACUUCUGACACUCAGGGACGAAAGCGUGGGGAGCGAAUGGGAUUAGAUACCCCAGUAGUCCACGCCCUAAACGAUGGAUGCUAGAUAUCGGCAGUAUCGACCCUGCCGGUGUCGGUUAAAAUAGCUAACGCAUUAAGCAUCCCGCCUGGGGAGUACGGCCGCAAGGCUAAAACUCAAAUGAAUAGACGGGGACCCGCACAAGCGGAGGAGCAUGUGGCUUAAUUCGAUGGUAAGCGAGGAACCUUACCUGGGUUUGACAUGUAGCUGCAAUCCCGCAGAAACGCGGGACGCCUUCGAGGGUGCUACACAGGUGCUGCAUGGUUGCCGUCAGCUCGUGUCGUGAGAUGUACCGUUAAGUCGGGUAACGAGCGCAACCCCUAUCCCGUGUUGUAUGUUUCACGGGAGACCGCCUCGGAUAACGGGGAGGAAGGUGGGGACGACGUCAAAUCAGCAUGGCUCUUACAUCCAGGGCUACACACGUGCUACAAUGGUUGGGACAAAGCGUUGCCAAGCCGCAAGGCGGAGCUAAUCGCAUCAAACCCAACCUCAGUUCGGAUUGAGGGCUGCAAUUCGCCCUCAUGAAGCCGGAUUCGCUAGUAACCGUG